AUUCUAGUGGCGAACGGGUGCGUAACACGUGAGAAUCUGCCUUUAGGAAAAGGAUAACUACUAGAAAUAGUAGCUAAUACUUUAUAUGCCUUAGGGUGAAAGAAGCAAUUCGCCUAAAGAGGAGCUCGCGUCUGAUUAGCUAGUUGGUAGGGUAAGAGCCUACCAAGGCGACGAUCAGUAGCUGGUUUGAGAGGAUGAUCAGCCACAUUGGAACUGAGACACGGUCCAGACUCCUACGGGAGGCAGCAGUAAGGAAUAUUCUACAAUGGGCGAAAGCCUGAUAGAGCAAUACCGCGUGAGGGACGAAUGCCUACGGGUUGUAAACCUCUUUUCUCAAGGAGGAAGAACUGACGUUACUUGAGGAAUAAGCAUCGGCUAACCCUGUGCCAGCAGCCGCGGUAAUACAGGGGAUGCAAGUUUUAUUCGGAAUUAUUGGGCGUAAAGCGUCUGCAGGUUGACAUAAAAGUCUUUUGUUAAAUAUCAGAGCUCAACUCGGAAUCUGCAAAAGAUACUAUAUGUCUUGAGUAUGGUAGAGGUAAGGGGAAUUUCCAGUGGAGCGGUGAAAUGCGUAGAUAUUGGAAAGAACACCGAUAGCGAAGGCACCUUACUGGGCCAUUACUGACACUCAGAGACGAAAGCUAGGGGAGCAAACGGGAUUAGAUACCCCGGUAGUCCUAGCCGUAAACGAUGGAUACUAGAUGUUGUAUACUUUAUUGUAAACAGUGUCGUAGCUAACGCG
rnacentral:rRNA from 1 species